CUACGGGCCGCAGCAGUGGGGAAUAUUGCACAAUGGGCGCAAGCCUGAUGCAGCCAUGCCGCGUGUAUGAAGAAGGCCUUCGGGUUGUAAAGUACUUUCAGCGGGGAGGAAGGGAGUAAAGUUAAUACCUUUGCUCAUUGACGUUACCCGCAGAAGAAGCACCGGCUAACUCCGUGCCAGCAGCCGCGGUAAUACGGAGGGUGCAAGCGUUAAUCGGAAUUACUGGGCGUAAAGCGCACGCAGGCGGUUUGUUAAGUCAGAUGUGAAAUCCCCGGGCUCAACCUGGGAACUGCAUCUGAUACUGGCGAGCUUGAGUCUCGUAGAGGGGGGUAGAAUUCCAGGUGUAGCGGUGAAAUGCGUAGAGAUCUGGAGGAACACCGGUGGCGAAGGCGGCCCCCUGGACGAAGACUGACGCUCAGGUGCGAAAGCGUGGGGAGCAAACAGGAUUAGAUACCCUCGUAGUC
rnacentral:rRNA from 1 species